rnacentral:misc_RNA from 1 species
AACGCACAUUGCGCCCUCUGGUAUUCCGGGGGGCAUGCCUGUCCGAGCGUCAUUGCAACCCUCAAGCUCGGCUUGUUUGUUAGGCUAUCGUCCCCUGUGGACGGGCCCGAAAGGCAGUGGCGGCUCCGUGUUCCGGUGCCCGAGCGUAUGGGGAUUUAUCACCCGCUCUGUGGCCCGGCCGGUGCUGGUCGAUUAUUUUAUCAUUUUUUCGGUUGACCUCGGAUCAGGUAGGGAUACCCGCUGAACUUAA